AAGUUAAGAUUUAUUAAUUUUAAAAAUUUAUUUUUAUUUAAUUAAAGAAAUAUUUAUUUUAUUAAUAUUAAGAAAAAAUAUUUUUUAUUAUAGUUAAAAGUAUUGUGAAAGAAUUUUUUAUUUUAAAAGAAAGAAAAAUUUAAUUUUUGUACCUUGUGCAUCAGGGUUAAUUAAAAAAUAAUUAAUUAUUUAAUAUUCUCGAAUUUAAAAGAGCUAAUUAAUUAUUUAUUUUAUUGUGGCAUAAAUAUUUAAAAUAAUUAAUUAGAAAUGAAACGUUAUUCGUUUUUAAAUAUAUCUAGUUUUUAAAUAAAUAAAUUUAAUUUAUCUAUUAAUAAUUAAAAUUUUAAUUUUAUAAAAUUUUAUUAUUAAUAAGAAAUUUUUUUAGGGAUAAGCUUAAAAAAAAAUUAUUAUAAUAAAAUGUAUUUAUUAAUAAAUUAUAGGAUUAUAAUUUUCCAUUGAUAAAAAAAUGUUAUAAUUGAUUAUUAAAAAUUAAUAUAAUUUAUAUUUUUAUUUAAAUUUUUUAUUUAAAUAUAUUAUUUAAUAAUAUAAUAUUAGAAAUAAUGAUUAAAUUAGUAUAAUUAAUUGUAUAAUUAACUUUAAAUAUAAAGGUUAAUUUAAGGAACUCGGCAAAUUAGUUUUUCACCUGUUUAUUAAAAACAUGGCCUUUUGAUUAUAAUUUAAGGUCUAAUCUGCCCACUGAUAAAUUAAAUGGCCGCAGUAUUUUGACUGUGCAAAGGUAGCAUAAUAAUUAGUUUCUUAAUUAGAAGCUGGAAUGAAAGAUUGAAUGAGAAAAUGACUGUCUCAAAUUAAUUUAUUUAGAAUUUUAUUUUUAAGUUAAAAAGCUUAAAUAUUAUUAAAAGACGAGAAGACCCUAUAGAGUUUUAUUUGAUUUUAUUAAUGAAUAUAAUUGAUUUAAAUAUUUUUAUUUAUAGAUUGAAUUUUGUUGGGGUGACAAAAAAAUUAAAUUAACUUUUUUUAUAUUUUAACAUUAAUUAAUGAUUUAUUGAUCCAAAAAUUUUGAUUAUAAGAUAAAAUUACCUUAGGGAUAACAGCGUAAUUUUUUUUGAGAGUUCUUAUCGAAAAAAAAGAUUGCGACCUCGAUGUUGGAUUAAAGUUAAGUUUUGGUGUAGAAGCUAAAAUAUUAGGUCUGUUCGACCUUUAAAACUUUACAUGAUCUGAGUUUAAACCGGUGUAAGCCAGGUUGGUUUCUAUCUUUAAUAAAUUAAAAUAUUUUAGUACGAAAGGACCAAGUAUUUAUUAUAAUAAUUAAAAUUUGAAUAAUAUUA
rnacentral:rRNA from 1 species